UAGUGACAUCUGGACACGUGUGUUUUGUUUAUGUUUCUGUCAUGUCUCCUCCCUGUUCUGUCAUUGGCUGGGAUUUCACGUGGGUCUGAAUUGCCCUCAGCUGAUAGCGGUUUAGACGCUGAUUAUGUCCGCAUAUAUACCGCGCGCCUCCCAGCACACAACGCGGAAGAGUAAAUAGUCGGCAGUCCCUCGUCAUAGUGUGUGUCUUGUUUUGUUUAUCGACCCUGUUUUCCGUGACCACGACCUAGAUUCCUGCCUUGCCCCGUGUAUGCCUGUUUGCCAAUCGCCUGACCUCCUGCAUGUUUGUGGAUUACGUUUUGGACCCCUUUUUGGAUUUGUCUGCCUGUCUCUCUUUCAAAUAAACAACUGUUCAUCCUGCACUUGCAUCCGUCCUGUCUCUGCUCCGUCACGAUUUGUGACACUCUUAACCAACGAUUGAAUUUCUUUACGUCCCAGAAUGUAGGACAUAACAAGAGGCUAUCAUCACAACCACAGAACAACUUCUGUAACACAGUAGUACAUUGCCUUUGGAGUCUGCUGAGGAUUGCAACAUUGGAAAGUAAAAUGUUUAAAGGCUACCACAGUCUACCACAACAUUUGAGAAGAUGCUGUAACCUACGAAAAAAAGGUUUAGAAGCGUACCAAACGUGGAGAGGAGUCCACAGAGCGCCCAGACCACUAGGGAGAGUCCCACACUGCCUGUAUUGAUGUGCACUCCUUUGGGGGUGAUGAAGAUCCCGCUGCCAAUCAUGGUGCCCA